GUAGUACUUCCUCCGUCUCAAAAUUCUUAUCUUGGAUUUUCCUAGAUACGGAUAUAUCUAAUACUAAAACGUGACUUGAUACAUCCGUAUUUAGACAAAUCUAAGACAAAUUUUUUGAGACGGAGGAAGUAUUUU
rfam:Triticum aestivum genome assembly, contig: Triticum_aestivum_CS42_TGACv1_scaffold_160139_2DL